AAACCUACAAGCCCUUCCGG
rnacentral:snRNA from 1 species